rnacentral:rRNA from 1 species
UGUAUGCGUAUACCAAAGUUGUUGCAGUUAAAACGCUCGUAGUCGGAAUUUGGCAGUUCCGGAAGUGUGCACGUCGUGUGCGCACUUUGCGGGGACUGCUUUUGUGGUCUUGCGUAGGAUGAGGCACUUUCAUUAGUGAACGUCCUCACGCAACCACUCUUUACUGUGAGAAAAUCAGAGUGCUCAAAGCAGGCAUUUGCCGUGAAUGUAUUAGCAUGGAAUAAUAGAAUAGGACUCGGUUCUAUUUUGUUGGUUUGUUGGGACUGAGUAAUGAUUAAGAGGGACAGUUGGGGGCAUUUGUAUUCCGGCGCUAGAGGUGAAAUUCUUAGAUUGCCGGAAGACAAACUGCUGCGAAAGCGUCUGCCAAGGAUGUUUUCAUUGA